rnacentral:rRNA from 1 species
UACAGCCAUACCACCCUGAAUGUGCCUGAUCUCAUCUGACCUCGGAAGCUAAGCAGGGUCGGGCCUGGUUAGUACCUGGAUGGGAGAAAUUAUUGGACAAAGAUGUAU